GUGCUUGUUUCAGCAGCACGUAUACUAAACCAGAAUCACAUGGAUAAGGAUGACACGCAAAUUCACAAAGCAAAUCUAUAUUUUU
rnacentral:snRNA from 1 species